GGGCACAUGGUGUAGUUGGUUAUCACGCUCGCUUAGCAUAUAAUGUGCGAGAGGUGUUGGGUUCAAUUCCCAAUGUGUCCA
rnacentral:tRNA from 1 species